CUGCUACUCCCUCCGUCUGAAAAUACUUGUCAUCAAAAUAAAUAAAUAAAAAUGUAUCUAGAUGUAUAUUAGUAUUAGAUACAUUCAUUUUUGUCCAUUUUGAUGACAAGUAUUUUCGGACGGAGGGAGUAUUUA
rnacentral:pre_miRNA from 1 species